AGAGUUUGAUCAUGGCUCAGGACGAACGCUGGCGGCGUGCUUAACACAUGCAAGUCGAACGGAAAGGCCCUUCGGGGUACUCGAGUGGCGAACGGGUGAGUAACACGUGGGUGAUCUGCCCUGCACUUUGGGAUAAGCCUGGGAAACUGGGUCUAAUACCGAAUAUGACCACGCUCUUCAUGGGGUGUGGUGGAAAGCUUUUGCGGUGUGGGAUGGGCCCGCGGCCUAUCAGCUUGUUGGUGGGGUAAUGGCCUACCAAGGCGACGACGGGUAGCCGGCCUGAGAGGGUGACCGGCCACACUGGGACUGAGAUACGGCCCAGACUCCUACGGGAGGCAGCAGUGGGGAAUAUUGCACAAUGGGCGCAAGCCUGAUGCAGCGACGCCGCGUGAGGGAUGACGGCCUUCGGGUUGUAAACCUCUUUCACCAGGGACGAAGCGCAAGUGACGGUACCUGGAGAAGAAGCACCGGCCAACUACGUGCCAGCAGCCGCGGUAAUACGUAGGGUGCGAGCGUUGUCCGGAAUUACUGGGCGUAAAGAGCUCGUAGGUGGUUUGUCGCGUUGUUCGUGAAAACUCACAGCUUAACUGUGGGCGUGCGGGCGAUACGGGCAGACUAGAGUACUGCAGGGGAGACUGGAAUUCCUGGUGUAGCGGUGGAAUGCGCAGAUAUCAGGAGGAACACCGGUGGCGAAGGCGGGUCUCUGGGCAGUAACUGGCGCUGAGGAGCGAAAGCGUGGGGAGCGAACAGGAUUAGAUACCCCGGUAGUCCAA
rnacentral:rRNA from 1 species